rnacentral:rRNA from 1 species
CCUACGGGAGGCAGCAGUGGGGAAUAUUGCACAAUGGGGGAAACCCUGAUGCAGCGACGCCGCGUGAGUGAAGAAGUAAUUCGUUAUGUAAAGCUUUAUCAGUAGGGAAGAAAAUGACGGUACCUGAGUAAGAAGCCCCGGCUAACUACGUCCCAGCAGCCGCGGUAAUACGGAGGGGGCAAGCGUUAUCCGGAUUUACUGGGGGUAAAGGGAGCGUAGACGGGAGUGCAAGUCUGGAGGGAAAGGCGGGGGCUCAACCCCCGGACUGCUGUGGAAACUGUACGGCUGGAGUGCGGGAGAGGUAAGUGGAAUGCCUGGUGUAGCGGUGAAAUGCGUAGAUAUUAGGAGGAACACCAGUGGCGAAGGCAGCUUACUGGACUGUAACUGACGUUGAGGCUCGAAAGCAUGGGGAGCAAACAGGAUUAGAUACCCGAGUAGUC